AACGAACGCUGGCGGCAGGCUUAACACAUGCAAGUCGAGCGCCCCGCAAGGGGAGCGGCAGACGGGUGAGUAACGCGUGGGAAUCUACCCAUCUCUACGGAAUAACGCAUGGAAACGUGUGCUAAUACCGUAUACGUCCUUCGGGAGAAAGAUUUAUCGGAGAUGGAUGAGCCCACGUUGGAUUAGCUAGUUGGUGGGGUAAAGGCCUACCAAGGCGACGAUCCAAAGGUGGUUUGAGAGGAUGAUCAGCCACACUGGGACUGGGACACGGCCCAGCCUCCUACGGGAGGCAGCAGUGGGGAAUAUUGGACAAUGGGCGCAAGCCUGAUCCAGCCAUGCCGCGUGAGUGAUGAAGGCCCUAGGGUUGUAAAGCUCUUUCACCAGUGAAGAUAAUGACGGUAACCGGAGAAGAAGCCCCGGCUAACUUCGUGCCAGCAGCCGCCGUAAAAC
rnacentral:rRNA from 1 species